rnacentral:snRNA from 1 species
GUGCUCACUUUGGCAGCACAUAUACUAAAAUUGGAACGUUACGGAGAAGAUUAGGAUGGCCCCUGUGCAAGGAUGACACGCAAAUUCAUGAAGUGUUUCCUAUUUUU